GGGCCGUCCCGUUGCGGGGCUUCUGUCGUUCCAGACGCAUUUGUCUCUCGUCCGAAGGACGCUGCAGCCGGUUUGGAAGUGCAAGCGCGGCGGCCUGAAGGUCGGGUAAUGGCAGGUGGCCGGCGGCUCGCCUUGUGCGGGUUGUCGGUUGUUAGCCGUCCCGUCAGUGGCUCGUCUCCAAACCGAGGUGUCGGGAGUCCCGUCUGGGACUCUUCGUCUCCCCCCCCCCGGUUGCGGGACUGGUCGUGGCAAGGGCUCCGUAUU
rnacentral:rRNA from 1 species